rnacentral:rRNA from 1 species
UACGUACCGUCCAAACGUUAUUCGGAAUCACUGGGCUUAAAGAGCUCGUAGGCGGCUUGUCACGUCGGGUGUGAAAGCCCGGGGCUUAACCCCGGGUCUGCAUUCGAUACGGGCUAGCUAGAGUGUGGUAGGGGAGAUCGGAAUUCCUGGUGUAGCGGUGAAAUGCGCAGAUAUCUGGAGGAACACCGGUGGCGAAGGCGGCAUCCUGGACCAACACUGACACUGAUGAGCGAAAGCCAGGGGAGCAAACGGG